rnacentral:rRNA from 1 species
AUUGAACGCUGGCGGCAGGCCUAACACAUGCAAGUCGAACGGUAGCACAGAGAGCUUGCUCUCGGGUGACGAGUGGCGGACGGGUGAGUAAUGUCUGGGAAACUGCCCGAUGGAGGGGGAUAACUACUGGAAGCGGUAGCUAAUACCGCAUAACGUCGCAAGACCAAAGUGGGGGACCUUCGGGCCUCACACCAUCGGAUGUGCCCAGAUGGGAUUAGCUAGUAGGUGGGGUAAUGGCUCACCUAGGCGACGAUCCCUAGCUGGUCUGAGAGGAUGACCAGCCACACUGGAACUGGGACACGGUCCAGACUCCUACGGGAGGCAGCAGUGGGGAAUAUUGCACAAUGGGCGCAAGCCUGAUGCAGCCAUGCCGCGUGUAUGAAGAAGGCCUUCGGGUUGUAAAGUACUUUCAGCGGGGAGGAAGGCGGUGAAGUUAAUAACUUCACCGAUUGACGUUACCCGCAGAAGGAGCACCGGCUAACUCCGUGCCAGCCGCCGCAGUAA